rnacentral:misc_RNA from 1 species
UACAGUACAUCUGUACAUUAGGAAAUACUUAUAUUUUAAAUAAUCAGAGUAAUGUGAACUACGUCAUACAUUCAUGCGUACCUCGCAAUCUGAUGACGUAUUAUCACCCAUGUGCGAUUUGCAAAGAAAAGAAUGGCAGAACAAAUGGAAGGUAUAGAUGUAAGAGAUACUGUUCUCUAGUUGGCAGCACUAGUUGGAUCACCCUUCUUGAAGAUAGCUGUAACGUUGGCCAGAGUCCAGUCUUUAGGAACUACUGUACUACAUCUGACCAAGAUGAAUUAAAAAUCAUUUGGAGAAGGGGCGCAACUUCCACAGUGACUUCUUUGAGUAUCCUUGCUGGGAUUUCAUCAGGUCCUGAAGCUUUCUUUGGGUUGACAUUCAAAAGAAGCUUCAGUAUACCCUCUGUCUGAAAUGUUAUGACAGGCACACCAGCGAAGGGACUCUCGUUCAUGGAUGUUAGGCCCUUACGCUUCUCAGAUAAGACCAGGCUGUACAAUGAAAACGAACGCUCGGCAUCUGCUGAAGUGAUGGUUGAGAAUAUAUAUCUCUUAAAAACUGAGUACAUCGCAGGCAGGUCAUGUUUUACAGAUUCCCAGAAUAUGUGAAUGGAUGGUUGGUUUUCUCUUUCGACAGCAUCAACAGCCUUGAACUGAAGAUAUCCGCUGUUACUACAACUACAACCAAUGAUAAACCAGUCUCCAAUGGUGAGACAGGCGCAGCCCCUUCGACAGAUAAACCAACAGAUGAAAUGACCUCAAAAGACUACUAUUUUGACUCAUAUGCACAUUUCGGAAUACAUGAGGAGAUGUUAAAAGAUGAGGUCCGUACUUUGACAUAUAGAAACUCUAUGUACCAUAACAGACAUCUGUUUAAGGACAAAGUAGUCCUAGAUGUUGGUUCAGGGACUGGCAUCUUAUGUAUGUUUGCUGCUAAAGCUGGAGCUAAGAAAGUCAUUGGGAUUGAAAUGUCUAGUAUUGUGGAACAUUCCAAAAAGAUUAUAGAACUGAACAAACUUAGUGAUGUGAUCACAAUAAUCAAAGGCAAGGUUGAAGAGGUUGUUCUGCCAGAUGGUAUUGAUAAGGUUGACAUUAUCAUCAGCGAGUGGAUGGGCUAUUGUUUGUUCUAUGAAUCUAUGUUAAACACAGUUAUAUUCGCCAGAGACAAGUGGCUGAAACCUGAUGGUAUGAUCUUCCCUGACAGAGCUACUCUGUAUGUGUGUGGAAUAGAAGACCGGGAAUACAAAGAAGACAAAAUUAACUGGUGGGACAAUGUGUAUGGGUUUGACAUGAGCUGUAUCCGUUCAGUUGCAAUCAGUGAGCCACUUGUAGAUGUUGUAGAUCACAAACAGGUGGUCACUAACUCGUGCCUUCUCAAGGAGGUGGACAUCUACACAGUGAAGGAGGGAGAUCUCAGUUUUGAGGCCCCUUUCCAUUUACAAUGCAGGCGGAAUGACUAUGUGCAGGCACUGGUUACUUUCUUUAAUAUAGAAUUCACUAAGUGUCAUAAACGUGUAGGAUUUUCUACAGCCCCUGAAGCCAGAUAUACUCAUUGGAAACAAACAGUCUUCUACCUUGAUGACUAUAUCACUAUAAAGAAAGGAGAAGAAAUGUUUGGCACAUUCAAGAUGACACCAAACAGUAAGAAUAAUAGAGAUCUGGACUUUGACAUCUCUGUUGAUUUCAAAGGUGAACUAUCCAACACAACAUCAAACAUGACAUUUAAAAUGCGUUAGAGCAAAGUGAAUGCCACAGAACAAUAGACCUUGUGCUGAUGUUAUCGUCACUAUGUAGAACUGCAGAGCAGAAAUAAACUGAAUCAUCUCUUCUCAAUGGAUAACAGAUUUGGUCAAACUGACAUUGUCAGAGAUAUGGUACUUGCAUGCCUAUUAGAAAUAUUCAUUUUUUAUUCUCAGCAGAAUGACCUUGACAUUUAUCUUACCUUUUAUAUAUUGCUAGCAGUACUUGCUCUUUGUAUCUCAUUUCUACACUUAUGAAUACAGUGAAAUAAAAAAGAUAUGUAUUUGUACAAAA